UGCGUAGGCGGUUUGUUAAGUCAUUUGUAAAAGAUCUCAGCUCAACUGAGUAAGGCGAAUGAAACUGGCAGACUUGAAUACGGUAGAGGUAAGUGGAAUUCCAUGUGUAGCGGUGGAAUGCGUAGAUAUAUGGAGGAACACCAAUGGCGAAGGCAACUUACUGGGCCGGAAUUGACGCUGAGGCACGAAAGCGUGGGGAGCAAACAGGAUUAGAUACCCUGGUAGUCC
rnacentral:rRNA from 1 species